rnacentral:rRNA from 1 species
UACACACCGCCCGUCACACCGUGGGAGUUGGUUACGCCCGAAGGCAGUGCUCUAACCCGCAAGGGAGGAAGCUGACCACGGUGGGAUCAGCGACUGGGGUG